GGCGGCGUGCUUAACACAUGGCAAGUCGAGCGAUGAAGCUUCUUCGGAAGUGGAUUAGCGGCGGACGGUGAGCAACACGUGGGUAACCUGCCUCAUAGUGGGGGAUAGCCUUUCGAAAGGAAGAUUAAUACCGCAUAAUAUUGUAGUUUCGCAUGAAGCAACAAUUAAAGAUUUAUCGCUAUAAGAUGGACCCGCGGCGCAUUAGCUAGUUGGUGGGGUAACGGCCUACCAAGGCGACGAUGCGUAGCCGACCUGAGAGGGUGAUCGGCCACAUUGGGACUGAGACACGGCCCAGACUCCUACGGGAGGCAGCAGUGGGGAAUAUUGCACAAUGGGGGAAACCCUGAUGCAGCAACGCCGCGUGAGUGAUGACGGUCUUCGGAUUGUAAAGCUCUGUCUUUAGGGACGAUAAUGACGGUACCUAAGGAGGAAGCCACGGCUAACUACGUG
rnacentral:rRNA from 1 species